rnacentral:lncRNA from 14 species
ACCCCCCCCCAAAUGCCAACCCCAUCCCAGUGCUUCCAAUGGGACCGAGCUCUGUGCUCCCAUCCCAGGGACAUCCCGGCACCGAAGGGCCACCGGGGAAGCCGGGUCCUAUAGGAGCUCAGGGAGCACCGGGACAAGCGGGAGCCAAUGGGAUGCGCGGGAUCCCGGGAUCUGCGGUGAGUGGGGGACCCCAGACCCUAAACCAGAGCUGUGGGGUGAUGGGGGCAGCAGAAUGGAUGGGGCUGAGCCUCAUUGGGGUCUCUUGCAGGGGGAUCAAGGGAUGAUGGGGGCGCCGGGACAGGUGGGACCCCCUGGCCCCAUGGGUCCUGUGGGGCUGCCUGGCCUCAAAGGAGACCCCGGCCACAAAGGAGAUAAGGGCCACGCUGGCCUCAUUGGCAUCAUUGGACCCCCAGGAGAGAUGGGGGAGAAAGGAGACCAGGGGCUCCCUGGCAUCCAGGGCCCCCCCGGACCCAAAGGGGACCCUGUGAGUGUUGGGGUCACCCCCAAUGGGGUGAAUGGGAAAUGGGGACACACACACACAAGGUCCAGCCACCCCCCAUUGAGCAUAGGGGUGAUGCUGCCUCUUACCCACAGGGCCUGGCUGGACCCAUGGGCCCCCCCGGCCCCCCUGGGCCCCCCGGGCUCUCGGUGAGUAUCUGCAAUGGGGGGAUCAUGGGAUGCUGCCAUGUGGGCCUCAUCCUGCACCUUCCUCCUCCCCAUAGGGUCCC